UUAGAUUCCUACCUUAAUACAGCAAGACUACUAUUGAUAUUUACCAGUAAGGGACCGUUCAUUAUUUAUGGGAGGGGGGGGGAUGGGUGAGAAACUGGGGGACCUGGAGUUUUUCUGAAAAAAGAAGGGGGGAUCUUCAAUUAUAUUAAACAAUAAUCUAGGGGGACCAGAAAGUAUUUGUUGCUUUAAAAACUUGUAAAUAAUUUAUGAGAAAAAGAAAUUGUUACCCUUCUUGAGUAACAUUUAAUAACAAAAAAUAAACAUAUACAGUAAAUUGUGUCUGUUCAUUGUUCUGUCAUUUUUACUCAUUCAUUGUCUUGAUUACAAGAUGAGUCACUGCUACAUUCUUGCUCACUAAGAUACGUAUCACUGUCUUUCGUAUCUGUAGCUGACUUCAUAUUAAAUAAAUCUUCCAGCCUCUUUUUUCACCAUUCUUCUUGGUUAUUUCUUCCUUUUUUGAAACUAGUCUUGACAUUAGAGAUUGCAUGCUUUCCUCGGCAUCUUUGCUCACACAGCCUUUUUCAAGAAGUUGUUUUAUUAUAUAGGCUCAAGAUGAAAUUUUGGUUCUAACUGAUUUCCGAAUUCAAGUUGCUAUGAUUUAAAGAGUCUUUUCUUAUAAAUGGCUCAAAGUUUUCCUGCACAAAUGAAAGGCUGGUUGGAGGAUCAGUUGGAAUAACUGAAAGUAACUUAACAGUAUUCUUUUCUAGGUUCCACUGUCGUUUUUGUUUUUUCUUUUUGUUUUCAUUGUUCUUUUCUUCUUCGUUUUAUUCUUCCUAGUUCACAUUUCUCAGCUGAUGUUUUAUCAAACUUCCUGCAUAAUGUAUUGUAAACUUCGUUUGCCUUUCCAGAUAAUUGCUUUAACUUUUGUAGUGAAUAUAUCAUGGCAGACAUUUUUUGCUCUAUAUAUUGCAGCUUGUUGUUUCCCCCAGGGAAAACAUUCAUGGAAGAUGAAUAACUGGUUUUUUGUUUUCUUGCAAUUGAUCUUUUACUUUCUCACCUUCUGACAUUUUGCUCUCUAGUGUUGAAAUGGUGUUAGUACAGCGACUUAUAUCACCACUAUUAAGAUCUCUAUAGGAAGGCUUUGAUAUCUACAAACGUUUUGCUUCAGUCCACUUGGAUUGUUCGAUUCCAUGUUCUCAGAAAAAGAUGUGAAUCCAGAAAUCAAAUUGUCAGUAUCAUAUCUCCAUCUCCUUCGGGUUAUUACAUAAUGUCGACAUCCUUCAGCACUAAUGAAUUCCUCUUAUGUGUCGUUGUAAAUAAUUGGGAUAAUUUCGUUAUAGUACGUCAGUCUGGGUGAAUGUGCAUUUGGAAUGAGUAGAGAAAAGUAAGGGGGGUUUGUUGUAAGAAGUCUACCUUUGUUCACAUCCAGGUAGCUAUUGCUUGAUUUGAGUGUUGCUUGUUGCAUAUUGCGUGAAGCUGUGUUGCUUCUUGGAAGUCUACUCGCGACAUCAUUCGUAUCAAGUACGACACCCUUCAGUCUCAGACGAUCUGCUGCCAAACUAAAGUCCUCUCGUACAUUCACCCAUCACUCCAAUCUUUAUCAUAAAUCUGUAAAGCACUACAUUCAUGGCCAAAGGUUGACAAAAGCGUUCACGAAGAAGAGGAAAAGCUGUCCCCUUCAUGAGUGUUUCAAGUGCAAAUCUAAAGAAAACUAGAGCCCGUAUUUUUUGUUUGGAUUGGUCAGCAGUAAGGCGCGUAAAUACAAAUUUGUUUUCGUUUUGUAGACUUUUUUAGUUCUUUCAUUGUGUUUUAUUUCGUUUCUAUUUAUGGUUGUUUUAUUUCGUUUAUGGACAAAAGUAAAGAUAUUUCUUCUGUUUGUAAAACUCGAACUUCCAGACGUUUUUGUCCUUCCAAAUCCUAUGAAAAUGACUUUGAAAGCAGCUUUAAAAUUUUUGAUUCGACUCGCCGAAGAAAACUUUGUGAUACAUGUAAUGGAUGCGUGUAUUUUGUUUGUUACUUAGUUUACUUAAAAGUACAUUCUAGAACAUUCUAAACGUGUGUUUAUAUAUGUGCAUGAGUAUAAGUAUACCUUCGCUUUC